CUCCCUCUCUCUAUAGUAGGUCGCCCUAUAGUAGGGUAGCUCUAUCUAAUCACAUCUGAUCAUCGAACCACGACUUUCGAUCGGAUCCGACCAAAGGAUGAGAGCUGGGAGGGGAUCGGAGGACGACCAGAUCCAAUCGGAGGACGAUCGGAUCCGAUCGGAGGAUGAGAGCUGGGAGGAUCCGGAUCCGAUCGGAGGAUGAGAGCUGGGAUGAUCCGAUCGGAGGAUGAGAGCUGGGAGGAUCCGGAUCCGAUUGAAGAUGAGAGUUGGAAGGAUCCGACCGGAGGACGAUCGGAUCCG
rnacentral:lncRNA from 1 species